CAGUCGCCGCGGUAAUACGGAGGGUGCAAGCGUUAUCCGGAUUUAUUGGGUUUAAAGGGUCCGUAGGCGGACUUAUAAGUCAGUGGUGAAAGCCUGUCGCUUAACGAUAGAACUGCCAUUGAUACUGUAAGUCUUGAGUAUAUUUGAGGUAGCUGGAAUAAGUAGUGUAGCGGUGAAAUGCAUAGAUAUUACUUAGAACACCAAUUGCGAAGGCAGGUUACCAAGAUAUAACUGACGCUGAGGGACGAAAGCGUGGGUAGCGAACAGGAUUAGAUACCCCUGUAGUCCCUGUCUCUUAUAA
rnacentral:rRNA from 1 species